rnacentral:rRNA from 1 species
UGUGAUGUUGGGUUAAGGCCCGCAACGAGCGCAACCCUCAUCCUGAGUUGCUAUCAGGCAAUGCUGGGUACUUUAACGAAACUGCCAUCGAUAAGCUGGAGGAAGGUGGGGAUGAUGUCAAGUCAUCAUGGGCGUUAUGGAGUGGGCUACACACGUGCUACAAUGGUGUCUACCAUGGGUUGCUAGGUGCGCAAGCCUAAUCUAAUCCCUAAAAGACAUCUCAGUUCGGAUUGUACUCUGCAACUCGAGUACAUGAAGUUGGAAUCUCUACUAAUCGUGGAUCAACAUGCCACGGGGAAUACGUUCUCCGGUCUUGUACACACUGCCCGUCACGCCAUGGGAAUUGGUU